AGUGAACGCUGGCGGCAUGCCUAACACAUGCAAGUCGCGCGGUCAGCAAUGGCAGCGGCGGACGGGUGAGUAACGCGUAGGAAUAUGUCCAGAGGUGGGGGACAACCCCGGGAAACUGGGGCUAAUACCGCAUAUGAGCUGAGGCUCAAAGCAGUGAUGCGCCUUUGGAGUAGCCUGCGUCCGAUUAGCUAGUUGGUGGGGUAAUGGCCUUCCAAGGCUGCGAUCGGUAGCUGGUCUGAGAGGACGACCAGCCACACUGGGACUGAGACACGGCCCAGACUCCUACGGGAGGCAGCAGUGGGGAAUAUUGGACAAUGGGCGCAAGCCUGAUCCAGCAAUGCCGCGUGGGUGAAGAAGGUCUUCGGAUUGUAAAGCCCUUUCGACGGGGACGAUGAUGACGGUACCCGUAGAAGAAGCCCCGGCUAACUUCGUGCCAGCAGCCGCAGUAACAC
rnacentral:rRNA from 1 species